rnacentral:rRNA from 1 species
CCUACGGGUGGCAGCAGUGGGGAAUCUUGCACAAUGGGGGAAACCCUGAUGCAGCGACGCCGCGUGAGUGAAGAAGUAUUUCGGUACGUAAAGCUCUAUCAGCAGGCAAGAAGAAAGACGGUACCUGACUAAGAAGCCUCGGCUAACUACGUGCCAGCAGCCGCGGUGAUACGUAGGGGGCAAGCGUUAUCCGGAUGUACUGGGCGUAACGGGAGCGUAGACGGUUGUGCAAGUCUGAAGUGAAAGCGCAGUGCUCAACCCUGGGACUGCUUUGGAAACUGUGGAGCUAGAGUGCUGGAGGGGUGAGUGGAAUUACAGGUGUAGCGGUGAAAUGCGUAGAUAUUAGGAGGAACACCAGUGGCGAAAGCGGCUUACUGGACAGUAACUGACGUUGAGGCUCGAAAGCGUGGGGAGCGAACAGGAUUAGAUACCCCAGUAGUC